GACAUUGUAACCCCAGCUAUUUGCGGGACGUAACUAUCAGCCGAAACAAAGACUUGAUCAAGUAUGUAGAGUUGGAAUUCUUGUACCGAGAAGAGCUGAAUGCCACCCCUGUUUCCCACACUGACUGGGUGUGCAAUAACUCAAGGAAAUCCCAGGUCAUCCGUGAUGGCUGGAAGUCCACAACAUGGAACAUGGCAAUACCGGUUGGUUUGGGGGAGGGCUGGCACCGUGACUGUGUAAUUGACGUUAAAGACGUCAACUUGGAGGCUAGUGACCCAUGUCUUUCUGAUCUCAUGGCUAUGCUGAGCAGCAAGACCACACGAACAUGGAAGGAACUUCCAGUGGCAUGCCCCAUCCUAAGCAUGGAUGAUGAUGUCGUUUACUUGCUUUCUCAAACCAGACCCAGGUACAUGGACAAGUUGGAAGUGAUAUUUGCUAUUGAUGUGAGGAAGGCAACAUUGCGAGGAUUGGCUGAGCUUGAUGUCCAGAAGAGCACCAUUUUCUUCCCGAACUUCUGCACAAGUGAGAUCUGCAGGGGUACCUGAGCAGUAUUAAGGUAACUUCUGUAUGCUGAUAGAAGCGAAGCGAGCUGAAAAGUAGCUAUCAAACAAACUGAACAGGGUAAACCAUCUGACGUGCAUGCGAAGAACUGGCUAGGACAAAGAAGCGUCAACCUGUUUGUUGAAACAUGGUACAAAGAAUCUGGAUGCAGACAUUGGAGAUUGAACUUCUUGAGUUGAUUUAUGAAAAUUAUGUGUAAUGCAACUAUCUGGAUUAUGUUGCUUGCAGUAUGCAGAUACAGGUACUUUAUUAUGUACUAGUGAACUUGUGUGGGCUAAAUGUUUUGGUUGAACCAUGUUUGUAUGUGUUAUGAUUUGGUUUUAAAUUUUUCUGUAUGCACAUUUUCUCUUUUGUUC